UAAGACGAGCCACACAAACGUUAUUCGGAAUCACUGGGCUUAAAGGGUGCGUAGGCUGUGCAGAAAGUUGGGUGUGAAAUCCGACAGCUUAACUGUCGAAGUGCACUCAAUACUACUGUGCUAGAGGAAGACAGAGGUAAGCGGAACUGAGGGUGGAGCGGUGAAAUGCGUUGAUAUCCUCAGGAACACCGGUGGCGAAGGCGGCUUACUGGGUCUUUUCUGACGCUGAGGCACGAAAGCUAGGGGAGCGAACGGG
rnacentral:rRNA from 1 species